GAGUUUGAUCCUGGCUCAGGACGAACGCUGGCGGCGUGCCUAAUACAUGCAAGUUGAACGAUGAUUUCUGGUACUUGUAUCAGAAUGAAGAGUAGCGAACGGGUGAGUAACGCGUGGGUAACCUACCUCUUAGCGGGGGACAACUAUUGGAAACGAUAGCUAAUACCGCAUAACAAUAUUAAACACAUGUUUAACAUUUGAAAGUACCAAUUGGUACACUAGGAGAUGGACCCGCGUUGUAUUAGCUAGUUGGUAGUGUAAUGGACUACCAAGGCGAUGAUACAUAGCCGACCUGAGAGGGUGAUCGGCCACAUUGGGACUGAGACACGGCCCAAACUCCUACGGGAGGCAGCAGUAGGGAAUCUUCGGCAAUGGACGAAAGUCUGACCGAGCAACGCCGCGUGAGUGAAGAAGGUUUUCGGAUCGUAAAACUCUGUUGUUAGAGAAGAACGUUGUGUAGAGUGGAAAAUUACACAAGUGACGGUAUCUAACCAGAAAGGGACGGCUAACUACGUGCCAGCAGCCGCGGUAAUACGUAGGUCCCGAGCGUUGUCCGGAUUUAUUGGGCGUAAAGCGAGCGCAGGUGGUUUAAUAAGUCUGAUGUAAAAGGCAGUGGCUCAACCAUUGUGAGCAUUGGAAACUGUUAGACUUGAGUGCAGUAGAGGAGAGUGGAAUUCCAUGUGUAGCGGUGAAAUGCGUAGAUAUAUGGAGGAACACCGGUGGCGAAAGCGGCUCUCUGGACUGUAACUGACACUGAGGCUCGAAAGCGUGGGUAGCAAACAGGAUUAGAUACCCUGGUAGUCCACGCCGUAAACGAUGAGUGCUAGUUGUUUGGGGCUAUCCAGCCCUAAGUGACGCAGCAAACGCAUUAAGCACUCCGCCUGGGGAGUACGACCGCAAGGUUGA
rnacentral:rRNA from 1 species